rnacentral:rRNA from 1 species
CUGGUUGAUCCUGCCAGUAGUCACACGGUUGUCGCAAUGGUUAAGCCACGCGUGUCUCAGUUAUAAGGUUAUAAGCCGUGAAACUGCGAAUGGCUCCUCAAAACAUUUACAGUUGAUUGUAUGGUCAAUCCUCACAUGGAUAACGGUGGAAAAUCUACAGCUAAUCCAAGCACUUAAGCCCGACUCCGUGGAAGGUUUGUGUCUACUCGUCACAGAACCAACCCAGGCUCUGCUUGGUUUUGUUGUGAUUCAUAAUAACCGAAUCAAUCGCAUUGCGUCAGCUGGCGACGAAUUAUUCCUUUUCUGACCUAUCAGCUGCCGAUGGUCGUGUGUUGGAUUACCUUGGCAAUGCCGGAAAAAGAGAAAUAGGGUUCGAUUCCGGAAAGGGAGCUCGAGAAACGACCGCCUCGUCCAAGGAAGGCAGUAGGUGCGCAAAUUACCAAAUCCUGACACGGGGAGGUAGUAACAAGAAAUCACAAUACAGGGCAUCCAUGUCUCGUGAUUGCGAUGUCUAGACUCUAAAUAUCGUUUGAGUAUCGAUUGGAGGGCAAGUCUGGU